CACUAUGCCAAUAUUAUGUUCAGAUCCUUCUGAAGCAGACAGUAUUGAAAGAUCUGAAAAUACAUUAAAUAAAAUCUUUUUGUAAUGAUAAUAGAUUUGUGGGAAUUUCCACAAAUGUAUGUUAGUAUUUAUCAAGGCCUUUAAGAAAGUAAACAAUAACUGCAAGCUUACCAGAAGAAAAAAAAAAUAGAAAACACAAAACAGAACUUGUCAUGACUAUUGCAAAUCAGAUACUUUGUAUUUCUGUCAGUUUGAAAAAAAAAGAUUAUUAUAAAUUAGCAUUUUAAUGCAAAUUUCCUGUUGCGUGGCUGAGAUAUUAAUGCUUUGUACAGAAAAAUAUACAAACUGUUAAAAUUAUCACUACAUUUUUGAUACUUUAAAUUCUUAAUUCAGUAGAUAAUAAGAGGGAAACUGAUAAAUUAAGCAUGCGUGCACACAGACAUGAAGGACUCUUCUCUGAUUGUGUCAAUAGAAACGAGAAACAACCUUCAGUCUCUAAGGGAUGGCCCUUAGAGGAUUACAGGUAUUGCCUUGUAGUAUUUGUCUUCUAUUUAGAAGAAGAAAAAUAGAAAAGCAUUUAAAAUACGGAAGCACAAAACUCAAGUUAAAGAUGAAGAGGAAAGAAAAAUUGCAUUACAAUUCUGGGAACUCUGACUAUUCUGAGGAUGGAUGAGAAGGUCAAAAUGUUUUGUAUUAAAAAAGGACUAAGAGUAGAGGAGUUUGUGCAAAAUACUGUAUUUGUUUUUAUUACAAUAUGGUUCAGCUGAGACCGUGCAAGAAUUUUGUCCUGUAUUCACCUUAACAUACGCUCGGGAAAGUUGUCCUUAAUCAUAUCUUAGAUUCUUUUGUUACUUGUGAUAGAAUUUCUUCAGUUCAGAUCUGUAAUUUUCCAUUUCUUUUCUUCCAUAUACAUUUCAUCGUGCUGACAGUAAAUAACUCUCUCAAAAUAGGUUCUAGGAGCCACUGUAGCAAACACAAUACUAUUUCUCCCCCUAGACAAUAGAUAUUGAGUAUAAAAAGCAGUUAUCUGAAAAGCAUGAAGAACGCUUACAAAGCUUGGAAAUAAAAAAUUAAGCCCUUGAGCUGGCUGAAAGUAA
rnacentral:lncRNA from 1 species